GAUGAACGCUAGCGGCAGGCCUAAUACAUGCAAGUCGAACGAUACUUUCCAGCUUGCUGGAAAGGAAAGUGGCGCACGGGUACGUAACGCGUAUGCAACCUACCUUAAUCAGGGGGAUAGCCCGAAGAAAUUCGGAUUAACACCGCAUAAAAUCACAGUACAGCAUUGUACAAUGAUCAAAUAUUUAUAGGAUUAAGAUGGGCAUGCGUGACAUUAGCUAGUUGGCGGGGUAACGGCCCACCAAGGCGACGAUGUCUAGGGGAUCUGAGAGGAUGACCCCCCACACUGGUACUGAGACACGGACCAGACUCCUACGGGAGGCAGCAGUAAGGAAUAUUGGUCAAUGGAGGCAACUCUGAACCAGCCAUGCCGCGUGCGGGAAGACAGCCCUCUGGGUCGUAAACUGCUUUUAUUCGGGAAUAAACCUACUUACGUGUAAGUAGCUGAAUGUACCGGAGGAAUAAGGAUCGGCUAACUCCGUGCCAGCCGCCGCUGUAA
rnacentral:rRNA from 1 species